UGGACACCCCCCUCACCCGUUCGAUGGAAAACCCUAGCCGUUAUCCCCCUCGCAGCGGCUCUCCUCCCAUUUGGAUGCCCUCACGGUUCUCAUCCGCUCGACCGAUCCCAUUCCCCUCUCGAAGGCUCUCGGGUUUGGCCACCUCUCCUUCUUUUGAGUCUUCUCCUCUCAAAAUGGCGAUAGGGUUUUCGGCCUCGAGAGCAUAGAGUAUGCCGUCUGUGUUCGUUUUCUAAUCUUUACUACUACCUGUCCUCGGCGAGUCAACGUGGGCUCGAUUGCUCGAUUUGGUGGUGGCAAGCUUAGGCAUUUGUGCUGUAGAUUCUUGGGCUUCUGAGCAUUAAUACACGUGCUAAGGAUAAAUAUAAAAAACGGCACUAUAUUUCCUCCUUUAAGGGCUACAGAAAUCAUGCAUGAUAUUCACGUGCUUGUAUGUGCUUUAGCUAGGGCAUCUUUUAUGCUCAAUAAUUUAGCUAGAGGCUAUGAUCUUUUGGCUACAUCAUUCAUGGAUAUUGAUGCACAAAGUGUGAUAGCAUAUGGCCGCUGCUCAUAUGGAUAUGCUGAACUUAAGAAGAAUAAGUUCUGGGUUUUAUUGUGCCAAGGAAGUGAGAUAUAAAAAAGAAAACCUUUUUGUCCAUACCAUGGCAUGUGAAUUUAUUAUUGAGUGUGGGUCUAAUGUUGUCUAAAUCGGGCAUAUGAUGUGUGUCUGGAAAUGUAAAAAUGGAGUGUUUUGUGCUCUUUAAAGUAGAAUAAUAUUGGAUUAAAAAAAGUUCUUCUUCAUCCACUAUAAAACAAUCAUAUCUAUGUUGGC